rnacentral:lncRNA from 1 species
GGAUACAGUCCCAUUGAGCACUCCUUUAAGAAUAAGGGUACUGCAAAGACACAGCCCUCCUUAUAGCACCAAUUCUGUUGGUGCAGAAUUCUGCCGAAGCCAGAGUUACUGGAGUUGAGAUGACCACGGUCGCCAUCGGGACCUGCAAGGGAAGUCUAAACCGGAGUUGGGGGUGCUCCGGCAAGAUCCUUCGACGCUCAAGUCAGUACUCUACUUCAACAAAAAUGGAGUGCUCGAGUGGGAAUUUUAGCAUAGUUUCAAGAUAGAGUUUCGAGCUUAGAGAAGAACGUAUCUGG